CCCACAGCCGCCGCAGCACUCCGCCUCCAUCCUCCUGCUCCACCAUGAGCGCCUCCUCCUCCGGUUCUCGCCUGGGCUCUGCCUCGCCCCCUCCCCGCCCCGGCCUCUUUCUUCUUGACCGGCAGCCGCUGCAUCUCCUCACCGGGAGGAGUGACGGUAGCGGCAGGUAGAGGGGUGAGCUCAACAGGAGCAGGGGAUGGUGCUCCACCACCUAUACGCGCUCCGUUGCCGGCUCUUCCUCCUCCCAUCCCCUCACGCCGCCGGUGCCGGAUCCCGCUUCUGUGCCGUCCCCUUCGCGCAGUCCUCCGCGCCGGCCGGCCACUACCGGCGCAUCACCCUGAUUAUUGAAGCGAUUGUUAAGGAUUGAAUGUUCUAUUUGUUACUGUCCAGAUGAGUUCGUCCUGUGCUAGAAGGUGUGUGGGAUAUAGGAGAUACAAGGAGAGAUAUUUCAGUUGCAAUCCAGCUUUAUUUCAAUGUAAAACAUGGUUCUACGAUCUCCUGUGUUGCUACAUCUUGAUCUCCUGCAUUGUUGUAACUCUGUUCUGCUGCUCGAGGUUUGCUUCCUUUCUGACGUAAUCUCUAUCUGGUUUGUUUCUUGUCCUGUGUGUGAUCAUAUUAGGCCUCCAGGAUCUUGUGCU